rnacentral:rRNA from 1 species
AACGAACGCUGGCGGCAGGCCUAACACAUGCAAGUCGAGCGGACCCUUCGGGGUUAGCGGCGGACGGGUGAGUAACGCGUGGGAAUAUGCCCUUUUCUGCGGAAUAGUCCUGGGAAACUGGGGGUAAUACCGCAUACGCCCUUUUGGGGAAAGAUUUAUCGGAGAAGGAUCGGCCCGCGUUGGAUUAGGUAGUUGGUGGGGUAAUGGCCCACCAAGCCGACGAUCCAUAGCUGGUUUGAGAGGAUGAUCAGCCACACUGGGACUGAGACACGGCCCAGACUCCUACGGGAGGCAGCAGUGGGGAAUCUUAGACAAUGGGGGCAACCCUGAUCUAGCCAUGCCGCGUGAGUGAUGAAGGCCUUAGGGUUGUAAAGCUCUUUCAGCUGGGAAGAUAAUGACGGUACCAGCAGAAGAAGCCCCGGCUAACUCCGUG